rnacentral:lncRNA from 1 species
GCAGUACAGUCUACAGCAGUGACUCAGCUUUGCUGCUGUUGCCUCAUGACCCUGUCAUAAUGGAAAAUACCUUAGAUCCUUAAAUGCAACAGCCCUAGCCCACCUCCUUCUUGGGACAAUUGUCACUAAAUGAAGCCAAGGAUGAACCUUUGAUGUUUCCCAUUGCUCGGUUUAUUGUAACAUUAGAACCAGUCAAUUAGGGUUUUAUUGCUUUUUGUUUAUGUGUGAGAAUCAAAGUGAUGGCCUAGAACAUACGAGGUACCUUGCCCUCCCUUCCAAUGGCAGAACCUACUCAGCUGCUGUCCUCUGUGGAGGAUGUAUCUGAGAGCUGUGACAGAAGGCAAAACGAUGGAGAGCUGUGAGCAGAGAUUGGAGAGCAUCAGUCAUGACUAAAGCUCGAUCUGGAGCUUCCUAGGAACUGGCCCCAACCUCAAAACCUGCUCUGGGGGCAGCUGGGCUCUGCUUCAUAAUGCACUUCAGGUAGCUGACUCCCUGUGACAUUGUGAAAUACACCAAGAGCACAGAUUAAAUGAUAGUCUUUGCCUGGGAAUAGGUCAUGAUUCAAAUCCAACUUCAGGUAAUUUUCUUGAGCAGAUUAAAUAACUUCUUCGAUACCAUGGAGACACAGUGGUGGAAACAAGAAUCUUGAAAGUAGCCAGCACGGCAAGAGCUGGCCAACAAUAUAGCUAAGUGAAUGAAGAUGCUUGCUGCCAAGCCUGAAACCUUAGUUGGAUUCCUGUAACCCACAUGGUAGAAAGAGAGAACAGAGAACAAAGUCCAGCACCUUCACAUACCCUAGGUGAGAAGAGAAGAGUAACUUAUAAAACACAGCAUCCAGAGCUGCUCUUCGGAGUCUCAUGAAGCAUAAAGUGAAAGGAGAUCCGGUGUCUGUCCAUUGCCAUCCGUUGUUUUCUUCAGGCUCCUCAGGACUGCUGACUGCUGCAGCUAGUGACUUUCUGGGUUUCAGCCUUCUGGACAUCUGGGAGCACAGUGGGGAUGAGCCACAGGAGUCCAUCAUGUUGGUGUGUUUGCCCUAUUUAUAGCCUACCUCCUGCUAAAGAGAGGACUGAAAGCACCUCACAAAACAGUAACAAGAAGAGAUAAAAAUAAACAAGUGGAAAAUUCCCGCAACAGGAGUGUUGAAACUGCACUGGAUGACGAUUUGGACACAGACAGGCAGACAUCUGCAAGUACUACUAACCUACAAGCAACAUACAUUCAAAUGGAAGGUCUAUGAAGGAAUAGUACCUAGGACUCAAAGGCAGUGUAUGCUAUAUGUUCAUGCUCUGGAGGCAGGGAGAUAUAGGCUCUUCAUCUCUUCAUGAACUCGCCAGUGCAUCUGACCUAAUAAAGAUCUGCAUCCAAAUCUAGGACCUGUCUAGGAAAAACAGUUCAAGUCUUCAAAGGAAAGG